rnacentral:rRNA from 1 species
UACGUAGGGGGCGAGCGUUGUCCGGAAUUACUGGGCGUAAAGUGUGCGCAGGCGGCCGCGCAAGUCGAGUGUGAAAGCCCCGAGCUUAACUUGGGAAUUGCGCUCGAAACUACGUGGCUGGAGUGUGGCAGAGGAAGGUGGAAUUCCACGUGUAGCGGUGAAAUGCGUAGAGAUGUGGAGGAACACCGGUGGCGAAGGCGGCAUCCUGGACCGACACUGACGCUGAGGAGCGAAAGCCAGGGGAGCAAACGGG